rnacentral:rRNA from 1 species
UACAGAGGGUGCAAGCGUUGUUCGGAAUUAUUGGGCGUAAAGGGCGCGUAGGCGGUGCGGUAAGUCUGUAGUGAAAUCUCUGGGCUCAACUCAGAGUCUGCUGCAGAAACUGCCGUACUUGAGUGUGGGAGAGGUGAGUGGAAUUCCCGGUGUAGCGGUGAAAUGCGUAGAUAUCUGGAGGAACACCGGUGGCGAAGGCGGCAUCCUGGACCAACACUGACACUGAGGAGCGAAAGCCAGGGAGCAAACGGG